AACGAGAUGCCUGAUAAAAGGAUAAUUGUGAUAGAAUUAAUGAUGUGACCCCCCCCAAAAUUCACUCUCGUUA
rnacentral:tRNA from 1 species